rnacentral:rRNA from 1 species
UACGUAGGGUGCAAGCGUUGUCCGGAAUUAUUGGGCGUAAAGAGCUCGUAGGCGGUCUGUCGCGUCGGCUGUGAAAACUCGGGGCUCAACCCCGAGCCUGCAGUCGAUACGGGCAGACUAGAGUGCUGUAGGGGAGACUGGAAUUCCUGGUGUAGCGGUGAAAUGCGCAGAUAUCAGGAGGAACACCGAUGGCGAAGGCAGCCCCCUGGGCCGACAUUGACGCUCAGGCACGAAAGCGUGGGGAGCAAACAGG